rnacentral:ncRNA from 1 species
CAAAGUCUUGGUCCUAAACUUACUGUUACUAACAGCUGCCAUUACACAUGCCAGUAUCCGCGCGCCAGUGCCCACGCCCACCCCAUAAAGGAGCCGGCAUCAGGCACGCCCCGCCAUGCUGCCCAAGACGCCUAGCACACGCCACACCCCCAAGGAACUCAGCAGUGAUAAACAUUAGGCAAUAAGCUCAACGCUUGACCUAGGCCCAGCCCACCAUUCAAGCCGGUAAACUCCGUGCCAGCCACCGCGGUUAUACGGCGGACUAAAAGUAACCACCCCCACGGCGUAAAAUGUGACUAGAGACCAAAGCCCGCGCACCGGGUGCACAACCCAGAUACAGCUGUAGAAUACUUAUAUCUGGCCCCGCCCUAACCGCCCACGCACGGGCCCAGCUUGACCUCACGAAAACUGAGACACAAACUAGGAUUAGAUACCCUACUAUGCUCAGCCGUAAACCAUGGCAACCAUAAAACCAGCUGCCCGCCAGAGAAUUACACGCGAAAAGCCUAAAACUCAAAAGACUUGACGGUGCUCUACCCUACCUAGAGGAGCCUGUCCUAUAAUCGAUACCCCACGAUUCACCCAACCCCUACUAGCACCACAGCCUAUAUACCGCCGUCGAAAGUAUAUCCUGCAAAGGAUCCAUAAUUAUCUCAACAGCCCGAACCACUAAAACGUCAGGUCAAGGCAUAGCUAAUGGAGAGGCAGAGAUGGGCUACAUUUUCUGAGCACAGAACAAACGAAAAAUGACAUGAAACCUGCUAUUUAAAGAUGGAUUUAGCAGUAAGAUGAAAAAGAACACUCACCUUAACCCAGCACCAGAGCACGUACACACCGCCCGUCACCCUCAUUAACAACCCUAAACCCAACCAUAUUCAACCUUACAAUCUAUAAAUGAGGCAAGUCGUAACAUGGUAAGUGUACUGGAAAGUGCACUUGGAAAACC